rnacentral:rRNA from 1 species
UACGGAGGGGGCUAGCGUUGUUCGGAAUUACUGGGCGUAAGGCGCGCGUAGGCGGAUCUGCAAGUCGGGGGUGAAAUCCCGAGGCUCAACCUCGGAACUGCCUUCGAUACUGCGGGUCUCGAGUCCGGGAGAGGUGAGUGGAAUUCCUAGUGUAGAGGUGAAAUUCGUAGAUAUUUAGGAAGAACACCAGUGGCGGAAGGCGGCUCACUGGCCC